CUACAAUGGACAAGUUUCUUGUAAAAAUAUCGAAGUCGAAAAAAAAUACUAAAACAAAUGCUAAGGAAAAUUUUAGCUUAUCUGAAGUAAACCUCCAUUCCACAGGAAAAAGAUCAUAAAUGAUGGAUAUAGAUAGCCUUGUCGUUGAUAAUAAUUUGAGUUUGUCCAUCACUUCUAACCAGUUAUCUAGAUCAAAUGAAACAAAAAUAACAGGUAACCACUAAACUUAACCAUCGAUAUAUGAUAUUGGUUUAUAUGUAAAAUCUACAUCAAAUGUAAGUGAUGAAGAAAAAAUUGAUAUUUUACACCAUGUAUGGAUUCCGGUUGCAAAAUUUAAUUUUCCUAUUACAGAUAAUGGUAAAUUUAAACGAUCAUUCCAGUUGAAGUGGAUUGACACAUUUCAGUUGCUGGCUUAUUCAAAAAUUAAUGAAGGUUGUUUUUGUAAGUUUUGUGUACUAUUUUUACGCUUUCAUAAUGUUGG